rnacentral:rRNA from 1 species
AAGAGUGGAAAAACUCCCUUGACGGUACUUAAUGAAUAAGCCCCGGCUAAUUAUGUGCCAGCAGCCGCGGUAAUACAUAAGGGGCGAGCGUUAUCCGGAAUUAUUGGGCGUAAAGGGUGCGUAGGCGGUUUAAUAAGUCUAUAGUUUAAUUUCAGUGCUUAACGCUGUUGUGCUAUAGAAACUGUUUUACUAGAGUGAGAUAGAGGCAAGCGGAAUUCCAUGUGUAGCGGUAAAAUGCGUAAAUAUAUGGAGGAACACCAGAGGCGUAGGCGGCUUGCUGGGUCUUUACUGACGCUGAGGCACGAAAGCGUGGGGAGCAAACAGGAUUAGAUACCCUGGUAGUCCACGCCGUAAACGAUGAGUACUAAGUGUCGGGUAAAACUGGUACUGAAGUUAACACGUUAAGUACUCCGCCUGAGUAGUACGUACGCAAGUAUGAAACUUAAAGGAAUUGACGGGACUCCGCACAAGCGGUGGAUCAUGUUGUUUAAUUCGAAGAUACACGAAAAACCUUACCAGGUCUUGACAUUUUCUUGCGAAGUUAUAGAAAUAUAAUGGAGGUCAUCAGGAAAACAGGUGGUGCAUGGUUGUCGUCAGCCCGUGUCGUGAGAUGUUAGGUUAAGUCCUAAAACGAGCGCAACCCUUGUCGUUAGUUGCCAGCAUGUAAUGAUGGGGACUUUAACGAGACUGCCAAUGAAAAAUUGGAGGAAGGUGGGGAUUACGUCAAAUCAUCAUGCCCCUUAUGAUCUGGGCUACAAACGUGAUACAAUGGUUGAUACAAAGAGUAGCUGAAACGCGAGUUCUUAGCCAAUCUCAAAAAAUCAAUCUCAGUUCGGA